CUGGAGACUUUCUCCCCAUUCCUCUCCUGUCCUCCCUUCUCUCUUGCCUCAUAUUCAGAACACAGAUAGAGCUUGAAGAUCAUGGCUUCUGGUCACUCUCCAUCUUUUCCGCCAGUGCCCAACUGACUGAUCUUUACAGAUGGUGUCAACAGAUGCAUCUACCCUCUGGCUUCAAGUUGAGUUGGCCAAUGAAGGGAGGCGCUGCGGAAAGUACAUGACAUUUGCAGUUGUGGGCGACUGUGCUGUGGGAUGAAACCAGGCUCCUCAUCAAGAUGAACAUAGAUUCAAGUCUCCAUCUUAGCCAUUUCCUAGUUCUGUGAUUAUAAAUAAACUCCUUGACUUUUC
rnacentral:lncRNA from 1 species